rnacentral:rRNA from 1 species
GAUGAACGCUGGCGGCGUGCCUAAUACAUGCAAGUCGAGCGAACAGACGAGGAGCUUGCUCCUCUGACGUUAGCGGCGGACGGGUGAGUAACACGUGGAUAACCUACCUAUAAGACUGGGAUAACUUCGGGAAACCGGAGCUAAUACCGGAUAAUAUAUUGAACCGCAUGGUUCAAUAGUGAAAGACGGUUUUGCUGUCACUUAUAGAUGGAUCCGCGCCGCAUUAGCUAGUUGGUAAGGUAACGGCUUACCAAGGCAACGAUGCGUAGCCGACCUGAGAGGGGGACCGGCCCAACGGGAACUGAGAACCGGUCCAGCCCCCGACGGGGGGCAGCAGGGGGGAAUCUCCCGAAAUGGGCGAAAGCCUGCGGGACAAACGCCGGGGGAGGGAAGAAGGUUUUGGGACCGUAAAACUCUUUUAUUAGGGAAAAAAAAAUGGUAAAGUAAUGUGGCCCCUUUUGACGGUACCAAAACAGAAAGCCCCGGCUAACCACGU